CCUCCGGUAGCUCAGUGGUGAGAGCGGGAUUCUUAUAAAGUCCGUGUCGGUGGUUCAAAUCCAUCCCGGAGGACCA
rnacentral:tRNA from 1 species